CUCACAGUAAACACAACACACACCCACGCCACUCUCUCAUCUCUCCCUCGGCUUCUCUCUCUAUCUCUUUCUCAUCAAAUUUCUUCCCCAAAUCUCAAAUUAACUAAGGGAUCUUGGAGUAUUCUUCUCCUAGAGUCGAGUUCUAGCCUUUGAUUGCGUUGGAAAGCUCGGAGGAGGUGUUUUCGGGAGAGGUUUUGCCCGGAGAUUCUUGGGGUUUUAAUUUCAACCUUCGAGGUAGGGAUCUCCUGCCUUCUUUAUAUGUGUUAAGUGUUUGUUUAAUGUACGAGAAUCAAGUUUGAUCAUUUAUUUUGAGUCUUGAACAAAUCUGGUAUAUGCUGAAAAUUUCGUGGGUUCUGGUAAUCUGUCAUUUUGGGGCUCUUCUGCUAGGAAUCAAUUUUUUGUGUCUUCAUAACUGUUAAAGUACGUUUCAAUACGAAGAUUUCGGUACCAAGAUCAUGCAAAACCGAUAAUCACACAAUUAGUUAUGGAUUUUUGAAUAUCGGCUGUUUCCUGGAUACGCGAAUCUGUGCGUGGCUGUCUUCUUUUAACUUUCUGGGCAUGAUGAACAAUUUGGUGGCAUUGGGUCUUUUACAGGAGCUGCAUAUUUAAGUUAAGAAGAGAUUGGCGUUGGAAUCAAUUAAUUUGGUUAAGUAUACAAUUUUUGGUGAAUUUCUAAAGCUGGGUUGGUUGAUAGGUGCGAAAAUGAUUGCGAAACUGUUUUUCUUUUGAUUGUUGGGUUAAUCUCCUCUUGUUUUUGAACCUGGGAUUUUUACUGAGCGUAGGGCUUGUAGUUGUGCAACUUUUGGCUUUGGUUUCACUAUUUUUGGGUUUAAGAUGAGAGAUUUAUGAUUUUUCAAUCAAUUUUACUUAUUUCCGCGUAGAAUCUGACAGCACCGGCGGACUUUGGUAAAAUGGCCAUAACUUCUAGCUCGGGACUCGAAAUGAUGCACCAUUUGUUUUGUUAGAAACUAGACAUAUAAAGCUUUCCAACAAUACAUCCCAUGCAUCAUGGGUAUGUCCGAGCGAUAACAGAUUUGCACACAAAACUGACCCAAAUUCUGCUUUGCACCAGUUUCACUGCUACGCUGAGCUAUAAUCGCAAAGCCAUAGUAAGGUUAUCCGAACUCCGUUUUUGAUGUAUGACCUAUGGAUCGAAGAAAAAGAAGUAUACUUUUCAAUGGUUCAAGUGUCGUCCUUGAAUUAGUGUUGUUUAAUUGGAUAUAGUCUAAUGUAAAGGAUUAACUUUGCCAAUUUGACAUGUGGGGAUACAAUGGAUUGAUUUAGAUGAUUAGGUGUUGGAUUAAAGAGAACUUGUGGUGUAUAAGAGAUAUGCAUUAUUGGUGUAUUGACCAUAAAUAGAAUCAUUGAGUAUUGUCUAAACAUGUUUCCAUUUGAUUGAAUGUUCUAGGAAGUUCGAGUCGUCACGCGGAUCGAGGUGAGUGAUUUAAUACUUAAACACAUGGUUUUGAACUUGUUUUCCUUAUCGAGCUUAUUUGAACAUGUUUUAUAAAUUAUGUACUCCAUGGAUAACAAUGAAAGGUGGACUUAUUUGUGAAAUAUUUGCGAAUCUAUUUAAUGGCAUUCCCAACGUCCGGUCUUGCUAGGGGACGGCUUAAUGGCUAGCAAGGGUGUUUGAGGUUGGUGUGUGUUUUGGGAUAAUGCGUAGACGUCUGGCUUAUCCACUACUGGGGACGCCCGGUAGCUUUUGAAUUUUGAAUAGCGGAAUGUGCAUUAUAUUUGGCUUAUGGUUUUGAGGUCUUUGUUUUGAAAAAUUAUCAAAUUAUUUUGCAUUGUCCAUGGAAGGCAUGUGAGUUAAGUAUUAAUCAUUCACACGAGCUUUGGCUUAUGUAUUUUCUUUUUCACCUUUCAGGAAGCGACGCGUAGUGUGGCAGAGUGUUUACUUUUGAGAUGUGUUGUAUAUUUGGAAAAGGAAGUUAUGCUUCAUGGUCACUUAGCUUUGUGUAUGAUUUGUUUAGUUUGUAAAUUUGUAGGUAAGCGCAGCUCUGAGAGGUUUACCCUUUUGGUUUGUAAACCUAUGUAAGACUUUGGUUUGUUAUUAAUAAAAGUUAACUUUUACUUCCGCUGUUAUGUU